UAUAAAAAUCUCAUAAUGUUUACAUAUAUCUCGUGUUCUGUUUCCCUAGAGAACCCUGACUAAUAAAAGAGAGAAAGGAAACACCUGCUAAACAGUUGGAUCAAAAUUGAAAAAACUGUUGACAUCAGAGCUUCCUCAUAUCCCCUCUUUCACUUUAGGAUUUCUGUCUUGAUUCUGAAAGGGCUUUAAAAUAUAAUCAGGUGUAAGGAAAAUGUUCAAAAAAUAGAUUGGGGUGAUGAAUGCAUAACUAUAUGAUGGUACUGUGAACAGUUGAUUGUACAUCAUGGAUGACUGUAUGGUAUGUGAAUAUAUCUCAAUAAAACUGAAUUUAGUUAAAAAAAAUAUAAUCAGGAUGGAGAAAGAGGUCUUGGAUGUAGUUAAGUUGUAAAGUUUCCACCAGUGUUGUAAGCGCAGGAUUAAUCCCAGAAUAUCAGUUACUAUGUGUUAAAUCUGAACCUUAAAGAUGUAAGCUUGUGUUCUUCCAGGUGCUUCCCGGUGAGGGUAGGGCAGGAGAGAGGCCAAAACAGAGUUGUGAGCUAAGCAAUUGAUGAGGGGAUUGGUAAAGAAUAAAGAGCAGUGAAAGAACUUAGUCCUGUCAUGAAUUCUGGAAACUCAAAUGGAAAGAGGAACUGACUCAGAGUGUGUUGAAUGAGAGUGACAGAUAGUGUGUAUAAGCAGCUCAUGGGAACCACCAAAAAAAAACCAGAAGAGAGUAAUUAGAGAUUGGGGAGAGAGAGAAACUUCCAGGUUGGAGGGUCCAUACCAGAGGUGGAGUUGGAGUUUGAGGACGCAGAGCCAAGGGUAAAUCUUGGUCAGAAAUGUCUAUGAGAAGAGUCUAGGGUCAUAGACCGAGAUACAUGUGGCAACAGAGAGAGGUCUGAACCAAGAAGGGUGAGCCUUGUCAUUAAAGAACCCUGAUCUUUAGAGGUAUAGUAGCUGAGCGAACACUCAGCCUUAUCUAGAAAGAGGAUGAAGAGAGGAAGAUGGAGGCUGAAUUAGCAGAUGAGGACAGUAAGGAAAGCAAGGACGUGCCUGGUGCUUGAAAUCUAUGACAAGUUAGUGAAUCACGCAAUAUCCUGUGGAGUUCAUGUCAUUGCUCUAUAGUUGGUACAACUAAGAUUUUCUCUGUUUUAUAAGAUAGUUUUCCUUUUGAACAUGUAAGUAUCCCUUCUAUCUUUUAUUCAUUGUCUUUGAUUGACUUUUGCCACUGUUUCUAACCCUUAUGUAACAGAGAACUUUUGCUAGAUCUCAUGAUGGCUUGGAUUGUGCAACUUUUGGAGUCAGAUUAAAGGCAGAACCAAGUUGUCCUGCAAAAUAGAGGAAAGGAGGGAAAAUGGCAAGAAGGAAUUCAGGAGAGAGAGAGGAAGAAUAGCCUGUAAGCCUGGGCUCAUAAAAGGAAAGGGUCCAAGGGAGAAGUCUCUGGCAGCAAAAACAGCCAAAGAAGAGACAUUAGAGAACAGAAAUGCAUAAUUGGGAUUUUUUUUUUAAACUGAGGGAGAGUGGGAUGUACAAUGCAAACCUAUCGUCUUUAAUUUCCUAUCGGACAUCUUCUGAAAGCCUACAAUACUUUAGUGCAAGUGAAUUCUCUUUAGGAACUUCAAAGAGGCCUUAAGCUGUGAGUCUAGCUUUGCUCAGCAUGAAAGAGAGGUAGCAUCUAACAGUCAGGGGAAAAAGGAGCUUAGGCAUAGUCUAGGAUAAAAGGUUUUAUUUUCCAAUUAUUUCUCAUUUUUAGAAAAAGAAAGACAUCCUCAUGCUUGUGUUUAGAACCUAACAAACCGUACAUGUUUCUGGUACUUUAUUAUGUCCCUAGGUAACUAUUAAAAAAAUUGCUCUUACCAUGAUAACCUCGAUGCUGGUUCCAGAAAAUGCCAAUUCUAAUUGUGCUUUGGUAUAUUGUGCACCAACAGAAAACAAAAUGCAGGAAAAGGGCAUCUCUGUAGAGGUCAAUGUUUUUAAAAAUUAAUCAUCAUCUUUAUAUGUUAUUUAGUUCUUGUCCUUCUGUGCACCUACAUCCUUAAAUGACAAAUGAAAAUUGCUUUCCCAGUGGAGUGAAAUAUUUCUCAAACAAAGGUUUCCAAAAGGUUGAGAGAAUGUGAAUUGGUCAUCUCAUCUGGUCCUGGGUGACAUUUCUUCUCUGUUUAUGAAAGCCAGGAUGCUGCUGCCAACCUGCAGAACUCCCUAACAUCUGAGCUUCUGAGAGCAUGAAAGCAGCCUGCUGGGAAGGAGAUGGGGUGCAGCAGCAGGAUAAAAUGAACAUUUUUAUAAAUGAGUCUCGUGCAGGAAAUCAAGUGCAGUGUCUGAAAACACAUGCUUUGAAGUCCAGGCCCAUUGUUUUCCUGUCAUUGGAGAGAAAACUUCAGCUUCCUCACCUAUUCGGUUGAGGUCUAGAUGUGAGUAACAACCUGGAAGAAGUGAAGUUGCGCUUAGAAAACUGAACGCCACAGAAACGGACUCAUUGGUCUCUUGAUGGGGCUUUUCAAGAAUUCCUCUGACAACAGACGGACAAGGAGACGUUAAUUCCAGAAAUGGGAAGUGAAACUGCGGAAGCAGAUUGAAAGAAAACAACACACGAUCUGUAUUCGGUAACUGCCCUCUGUCGGCUGCGCUGAGAGAACAGAGUUACAAGAUACAUUCUUAUCUGAGGAUGAGUGGUACCAGCACAAGGCCAAAGUGAAUUCAUCCCUAUAACAAUAGGGAUCAAAUUUCAAGAUGAAACAUAAACAGUGAGCAGGACGGCUGAUUGCAUCGUCUUCCAAGAGUGCCCUCUGCUGGCAAUUGCCUUGAAUUCAAAAUUCCAUUGUAGGCUUCGAAGUUUCAUUCUUGGACCAAAUGAGGCUUUUAAAGUUUUAUUAGAAAGAAAACAUCUGGAGGAGAAAAAAGCCUCAGAGAUUUUAUCUUAAGAAUUUAAAUAAAUAUAUUAUACAUCAUAGCAUGAGGCAUAAUUCUAUACAUUGUGGAAAGCAAACUUCGUUUGGCAGUUACUGAAAUUGUUUGGGCAAGAAGUAAAGAAGGACUCAAUUAGAACAGCAUGUCCAGGGAUGAAUAGAAGGGAAUGGAUUUGAGAAAUUUUAGGAAGUAAAAUUGAUGGGACUUGGUGAUUGAUUGAAAGUUGGAGAACUUGAGUUGCUAAGGACAACUGUCACAAUCCUGGCUUGAGUAACUGGACAGAAGGUGGUACAAUCAAGUGAAACAGGGACUAUAGAAGAGGCUGCCGGUACAAAGGGAGAAUGUAAAUACAUUCUGUUUGCAGGGGGUCGGGUGGGGUACUAUAGGAUGGCCCAGAAAAGGAAUCUAGAAGGAGGGUGAGUGUAUAAACCUGAAUCUUGUUGUGGGGCUUAAAGGACUUUGAAUUAUUUAAUUUUACUUGAAAAUAUUUAGUUUUUUGUCUUAAGUAACUUUUUUUGCUUUACAUAAAUUAUUUUUAGAAGAAACACAUGAAAAAUAAUAUUGUAAUUCUUCCAAGGUUAAGUUUUCUGUCAGGAUUUAUUUAUUCAAAAGCAUUUUCUGAAAGUUGACUAUGCGCUUUGUUCUAAGUGUUGGGUAAACAGGAAUAGACAAAACAGGUAAAGUCCCCGUCCAGAUGGAGCUUACGUUUAAGCAGGAGAAGACAGAGAUCAACCACGUAGACAAACGAAUAGACAUUUCAAACAGAGGAGUGAGAUGGAAAACAGCAACAAUAAACAAGGUGAUCAGAUGGAGAGCAGUUAGGGCUGGAGAGCAGGGUGGUGACUGGCGACAUUGGGAGUAAUUGAGCAGAACAUCUGUCCAAGAAGGUGGGGCUCUCCAAGGAGGGGACAUUUAAUCUGAAUCUUGAGUGUCAACAGUGAACUAGUCAUGAGAAUAUAUGCAGGAAGAGCCUUCCAAAUGAGAAAACACAUGCACAAGAUGUCACUAGCCCCUCUCUGUCUAAUGACACAAAAUGCUUUUGCUGAAUGACAGGGCUGAGCAAUCCAUAUGUACCCACUAGAAAUUACAUUUCCAAUUCUUUGAGAUUUGGGGAAUCUAGUACAGAUAUCAGUAUCUUCUGGAUGUUUAAAUAGGGAGUCCAUUAGAAAAUAUGGGACACUAUAAAAAACAAGAGGGAUAAAAAAUGAAAAUCACAAGAAAAACAUUACGAAAACAUAUUUCAUAUAUUUUAAAUGCCCCCAGGGACAUGCUGGAAGAGUUAGUGGAGCUCUCCAGCAAAAUAGAGCCAUAUACCAGAGGUUUUGUUGGAGAAGAUAAAAGGUAACUAAUAUUGACUAGGAAAAUCUAACUUACUUGUGUGUGACCAUUUAGAACCAAUGCCAAAGUUUUGUAAACUUCUAUGAUUCUGACGCAGAAUAAGCAUAAUAAACUCAUAAUAAAGGUUUGCUUGUCAUGACA